CGGCUCCACGUUCCUUCCUGACAGACAGUCAGACAGGUUACAGUCAGACAGACAGGUUACAGUCAGACAGACAGGUUACAGACAGACAGACAGGUUACAGUCAGGCAGACAGGUUACAGUCAGACAGGUUACAGUCAGACAGACAGGUUGCAGUCAGACAGACAGGUUGCAGUCAGACAGGUUGCAGUCGGACAGACAGGUUACAGUCAGACAGGUUGUAGUCAGACAGGUUGCAGUCAGACAGGUUGCAGUCAGACAGGUUGCAGUCGGACAGACAGGUUACAGUCAGACAGGUUACAGUCAGACAGGUUGCAGUCGGACAGACAGGUUACAGUCAGACAGGUUACAGUCAGACAGGUUGCAGUCAGUCAGACAGGUUGCAGUCAGACAGGUUACAGUCAGACAGACAGGUUACAGUCAGACAGACAGGUUACAGUCAGACAGGCAGGUUACAGACAGGUUACAGACAGACAGGUUACAGUCAGACAGGUUACAGAUGGACUGGUUACAGUCAGACAGGCAGGCAGGUUACAGUCAGACAGGUUACAGACAGGCAGGUUACAGUCAGACAAACAGGUUACAGUCAGACAGACAGGUUACAGUCAGACGGACAGGUUACAGCCAGACGGACAGAUUACAGUCGGCAGGCAUCAGACAGACAGAUGGACAGGUUACAGACAGACAAACAUGUUACAGUCAGACAGGUUACAGUCAGAC